GAUCAGCAAGCCAAAAACCAUUUUGUCAAUAGAUACCAUAGUAGAUACCACCAUUUCAAAUAGAAGCAGUAUAAGUUUUAAGACUGCACACAAAGAGAAUAUCAAGAAAAUUCACUAAGCAAAAACAAUAACAAGUAAAAGGACUUUACAAGAAUAGUGGUAACUGUGGAUUUCUUCAAAGAAAAUGUUGCAAGCAAUGAUGUAAUGGUUCUUUCAAGAAUCUUUUACAAAUUGAAGCAUUCUUAGGCUCCGUUUGUUUCACGGAAAA
rnacentral:misc_RNA from 1 species